rnacentral:misc_RNA from 1 species
AUGGCUGCUGUUCCCCCCUUUGAGAGGACCAUGAUGACUGCUGUCCUCCUCUUUGAAAGGACCAUGAUGGCUGCUGUCCUGUUGGAGAAGACCACAAUUGUUGCUGUCCUGCAAUUUGAUGAGGCCCUGAUGGCUGCUGCUGUCCUAUCUGAGAGGACCAUGAUGGCUGCUGUCCUGCAGUAUUAUGGGAACCUAAUGGUUGUGUUGAUGGCGCUUGAGGUGAUCCUGAUACCAUUUGACCUUCCAUUUGCUGGCGACCAAAUGGUUGCUGUCUUGCCAUCUGAGGUUGACCUGAUGGUGCUCGUGCAGGCAAUGAAGAUUGCUGCUCUCUUGCCAUUUGAGAACCCCAUGGCAUUCGAGGUUGUCUUUGCACAUGAGGGGGUCUAGACAUGUUCCUCCACCUAUUUUCAUCAAAAACUCUCUGAAUUUCUUGAUUAUGUCCAGCACUGGUAUAUGCCUCAGUUACAAAUUCUUUUAACGUGGGAGGAACACCAACACAGUAUCUCAUCAUUUGCUCCAGUAUAUUUGUGCUCAUGUCAAAUGCACCUGCUUCACAUAGUCCUCUCACCACAACAUCAUAAACAGAGGGGUCUGGUUUUAGAUCUCGCUCUCCCAUUUUAGUCAAAAUCUGUGCACACUCAACUGCCUUUCCAUUCUUAAUCAACUCACUAAACACCCUUGUCGCGUAAGUUGCCACCACCCACAAAUUUUCCUGUACCAUUUUAUAUAACAACUUUAGAGCAUCAUCAAUUCUCUCAACCUUCAGAUAAGCAUCGAUCAGCAUUCUAUAACUUGUGACAUCAGGGGACAAAGACUUGGAUGAUAGUUCUGUGAAGAAUUUCUCAGCCUCUAAUAACAUCUCAUUCUCACAAAACCUUAUUAUAAUGUUAUUAUACCCUGCAACAUCCAUUUGAAAAGGUUUUGACCCAGGCUUUGUCCCUGCCUUCCUAAACAUGUCCACUGCCUGAGCAAACUCCUGUUCUUUAAAACACUCAUUCACCAUGAUAUUAAAAGUUUCCGAAUUAACACCUUGGUUGGUUGGUGGGGUAUGGUUAUCUAACAUUAACUCAAAUAAAGCUAUAGCCGCCUCUUUUUUCCCAUACCUAAGCAGAACCUCCAAGAGGGCAUUUCCAGUUGGAGGUGCAAUCUUCAAUUUCCUAUCCAUAAAUGACUUAUAAUUCUCCAUAGCCUCCUUAUCCUUCCCUUGCUUAAACCACCAAUCCAUAAAUGUUGCAUUAACUGUGCCAUCAUACCACAAACAUCUCUCAGUCAACUCAUUGAAAAACUCAUUUGCCUUCUCCAAAUUUCCCAAGUCAAGAAACGCUUUAAUUAUAUUGUUAAAGACCAAAGAAUCUGCCCCGUGACCUUUGUUCAACAUCUCUCUCAACAAAUCCACUGCUUCAUCAACCCUCCCAGCAUCAAUCAACCCUUUAGUCAAAUGCUUAUAAGUUACAUGCGAUGGACUAAACGGAGCAUUUGCAAUUAUAUGCCUAUAGAUUUCAAGUGCCGUAUCGACUCUCCCCUCAUCACAAUGUGCAUUGAUCAAAUUAUUAUACGAAACAACAUUAGGAACUAUAUCAUGCUGUUCAAAAAAGUACUUAAAUAGCGAAAUUGCAUCACUGUACCGUUUGGCUCGAUACAUAGCAGCGAUGAUCGCGUUGCAGGUGAACACAGUGGGACGAGUUCUGGUGUAGACGGCGUUGCGAGCGAGAAGGGAGGCGUUGUCGAGAUCGAAGGCGCGAAUGAGAGAUUGCACUCGGUUAUGAAGGUUAAGUCGCGGGCCUACUAAUGCAUUGGUAGAGUCCGGAAGACGAGGCGCGUUGGGGUCACGAGGCGGAGGGUUGGGAUUGCGCUGAAGGGCGUGGAGUGGAGGUUCGAUGCGGAGGCGGCGCUUGCGUCUACGGCGUUCGGCAGCAGCUUCCUCGGCGGAGGAAAAGGCGUAGGUGCGGGAUAUAGGGAGGAGAGGAGAUGAGGAGAUGGGGUUGGAUAAGGAUGAGAUUGGGUCAUUAGAAUCAAAAGUUUGGGAGGUGGUCGUCUUGGGAGAGAGUGUGAGGUAGUGGAGGGCUCGAAUUAGAGGUUGACAGGACUUGGCGUUGGUGGAGGCGGUGGCAGUGGAGCGGCGGAGGAGGCGGUAGACUGACAUCUUUGGGCCGUUGAACCUUUGUGUGAGUCGGAGAGGCAAGAGAAGUACAAUCGAAGAGAGCUUCAAGCCUUAAACCCUAAGAG